rnacentral:siRNA from 1 species
UGAAGCAGCUUCGACUUUCGG